rnacentral:tRNA from 3 species
GCGAGUGUAGCUCAGCGGCAGAGCACGCCCUUCACACGGGCGGGGUCACAGGUUCAAUCCCUGUCACUCGCACCA